GCCAGAGUGGUGUAGUGGUUUGCAUGUUGGACUAUAACUCUGGAGACCAAAGUUUGACUCCCGGCUUGGCCA